AUGCUCACUUCGGUAGCGCAUACACUUAAAUUGGAACAAUACAGAGAGGUUUAGCACGGCCCCUGCACAGGGAUGAUACGCAAAUUCGUGAAGUGUUCCAUAUUUUU
ensembl:snRNA U6 U6 spliceosomal RNA